GGUAAGGUGGCCGAAAAGGUGGUGGGUUGUAGCCCCAAACAUAGAGGUUUAAGCCCUCUUCUUACCA
rnacentral:tRNA from 1 species